GCAGCCUGAUCCAGCCAUACCGCGUGGGUGAAGAAGGCCUUCGGGUUGUAAAGCCCUUUUGUUGGGAAAGAAAUCCAGCUGGCUAAUACCCGGUUGGGAUGACGGUACCCAAAGAAUAAGCACCGGCUAACUUCGUGCCAGCAGCCGCGGUAAUACGAAGGGUGCAAGCGUUACUCGGAAUUACUGGGCGUAAAGCGUGCGUAGGUGGUCGUUUAAGUCCGUUGUGAAAGCCCUGGGCUCAACCUGGGAACUGCAGUGGAUACUGGGCGACUAGAAUGUGGUAGAGGGUAGCGGAAUUCCUGGUGUAGCAGUGAAAUGCGUAGAGAUCAGGAGGAACAUCCAUGGCGAAGGCAGCUACCUGGACCAACAUUGACACUGAGGCACGAAAGCGUGGGGAGCAAACAGGAUUAGAUACCCUGGUAGUCCACGCCCUAAACGAUGCGAACUGGAUGUUGGGUGCAAUUUGGCACGCAGUAUCGAAGCUAACGCGUUAAGUUCGCCGCCUGGGGAGUACGGUCGCAAGACUGAAACUCAAAGGAAUUGACGGGGGCCCGCACAAGCGGUGGAGUAUGUGGUUUAAUUCGAUGCAACGCGAAGAACCUUACCUGGCCUUGACAUGUCGAGAACUUUCCAGAGAUGGAUGGGUGCCUUCGGGAACUCGAACACAGGUGCUGCAUGGCUGUCGUCAGCUCGUGA
rnacentral:rRNA from 1 species